AACUGUCUUUCCAUGUGGCGGUGUCUACGUUGAUUGUCAAAAACCGAUGUAAUGAUGAUUUUUAUAAAAUCGUCUCUGAUGUUAACCUUUCAUAAAAACCAUCUUUGAUCCCAAAGGUCUUUUUUAAUUAUUUUAUUUAUUUUCUCUUUCAUUAAUUCACAACAACAACGUGAUGAACCUAAAGCUAAAAAGCUUCGAGAAAUGGGAUGCUCCUGAGGAGAAUGGCAGAGAAGGACGCAGAGGAAGAUUGGAGUUCUUUUCGGAGAAAGAAAACCAAGAAACACAACAACCACACCCUGGAGAAGGGAACACUCCAGAGAAGAACCCUCACUGUGUUACCGUGGUGUUGCCAGAGAAGGAUGCAGGGGGCGUCAAUUUCUUUUGCCGUUGUGGUGUUGUCAGAAAAGAAGCCCGUCGAGGCCGCGCGACACAGAGUGGAGAAGACCAUGAAGUGAAAAUUGUUGCAGAAAAUUGGUUCACGAUGGGCAGAAAAAAAACAUGAUGAACCUGUUGAAUCGCGUCGAUUAAGCCUCGUACUGUUCGGCUGAAUCACCAUAGUUUGAAGCUUCUAAAAUAUUGGACAUGGCAGUUUGUUGUUGUCCGUCCAGUAUGUUCUGUUCUGAUGAUUGCAUUACAGCUAUGCGGGCUGUAUCCAACUUGGUUGAGCUGGGCAUUCACCAUCGUUCUCUACAUAUCUGUGUCGUUUGCCUUGUAUUCUCUGGUGGUCUUUUACCAUGUGUUUGCUAAAGAACUGGCACCACACAAACCUCUAGCUAAAUUCUUGUGCAUCAAAGGAAUUGUUUUCUUCUGCUUUUGGCAGCCAACAAGACAAUAAACUCAAUGUAGGAAAUUUCAACCUGAAAAAGCAGAGAGGAUCAUAUAAUGCUUUGGGGGUUCAUGCCAAGGACAUACGUCAGGAGAAGACAAAGCAGAAUUUUGAAAUGGCACAAGAGAGCAUAAGACAGAUGCGAGAACUCUUAGGAGAGCUAGUCAUGGUUGAGGGUGAGAUAGCGAGACUUAAAUCCCAAAUAAGCCAACUCCAAGAUGGUUUGAAACGUGAACAAGAAGUCACCAUGGAAUCAAAGCCUAAAACGUGGAAUCAAGGGAAUUUGACCAAUUCUAACAAUCACUUAUAAACUUCACCGGUUCCAAAUCCUAGUCCUAUUUGCAGAAUUUUUCAAGAAAGGAUGGCAUUUGAAACCAAGGCGUUGCAUUUCAUAAGCAAAGCUAUAAAGGGCGAUUAUAAUCUCAAUGACUUCAGUUAUAAUGAUAAAGCAGGGUUUUUUAAAACUUCUGUCGAACAGAAAGAAAGUAAGUUCCAAGAUGUGAAAUUUCAAGAAAAACUUCCUAGAAAAAAUGGGAUAGUGAAGCCUCCUUCACCUAUGCGUGACCCCCGCCAUCCAUCACCCAAGUUGCGGGAGCGCAAUCCAGAGAUUUACUUGGAUCUCCCAACCAGAUCACUUUGGAUCCACUUCUGUCAGAAGAGAAUGAUCUCAAGUGGCAGCCCAACAAGCUAUCUGAGAGCAUCAUGAAGUGUUUGAAUUUCAUAUAAGUGAGACUUAGGCAUAUUCACCUCCAGCUCUAUGGAUCCCAAGUUCAUCUCAAGUCCAUCCUCUAUACCAUUACUAAGGAAGUUAAGGUAUGGCAUGGAUGAUGUGUAUAUUUACGAGAAAAACCAACAUUGACAACUUUGAUCUUGAUGAGCAAUCUUCAAACUGUUGACUUGAAAAGCCUUACAAACCAACAGAAAUUAGCAUUCUGGAUCAAUGUGUACAACGCUUGUAUCAUGCAUGGAUUUAUCCAAUAUGGAGUGCCAUCUACCCCAGAAAAACUACUUGCAUUGAUGAACAAGAUAUAUUCUAAAAUGAUUGGAAAUGUUAUGAUAGAUGCCCGAUCAACUGGAAAAUAUUACCAUUGUAAGUACAUAAAUUUGAGAAACUCUUCAGAUCUAUAUAGCAAUUAAAGACUGAAGACCAAUGCUUAAUGUACCACCUUGGACAUUGAUUGUUGUUACUAUUCUCUACUUUAUUGCUUCUCUCUUCUUACAACAUGAACUGGUUCACUUUUUAAACAUUUUGCACUUUAAAACCACUGCUAUCAUCCAUUCUUAUUGUUUGAGGUCAACAAUAAUCGUUUGAUUUCUUUCCCCUAAUUUUUUGUAUAACUUUGAAAUAAAAACAAAAUGUUGGGAUAUUCCUCUAAACUGCCAUAUCUUCUCACACAGAUGUGCCAGCACCUGUUAUGGGAACAGGACCAUAGGUCAGUACUAAUUACACAGAUUUAGAAUUGAAUCUGCUGCUAUUUGUUUAAGAUUAUAUAUACUUUUUAUGUUACUGUCAAUUUAUAUUUGACUUAAAUACAUGAUUGCAAAUCCCCAGACAUUGUAAUGUCUUCAAUUCCUACUGAUAAAAAAAAAUACAUGUUGAUAUGAUUUUUGAAAUUCAAUAUUAUCUUACAUACAUGCAUGAAGUUUAGAAAUUCUAUUGUAUUGUUGAAUGAUCCAACUAUAUAUAUAUAUUGAUGUUUCCCAGCUGGCACAUAUGGUUGAUGUGUCAUCCGGUAUGCAUGUUGAAACAGCUUAUGACAUGCUAUUUUUAGUAUUAGUAUACAAGGCAGUAUAUACCAUUGUUAAAAGCUCAAACAGCUGAUGACAUGCUAUUUUUAGUAUUAGUAUGCAAUUUUGUAUAUAGUUAGCUACUACAAAUUGUUAUUUAAUUAUAAGUUAUGCAAAUUCUUAUUUAAUUUUGUAUAUAGCUUGUUUGUCUCAAUGACAAAUUGUUAUUUAAUUAUAAGUUAUGCAAAUUUACUAUAGCUAGCUACUACAAAUGUAAAUGAGACAUGGUUGAUUGCUGAAAUGUUUUGGUAAUUUGCAUAUGUUGUUACGGGCUGAAUUCCACGAACCAAAAAAAUAAAAA